rnacentral:rRNA from 1 species
UACGUAGGGUGCAAGCGUUGUCCGGAUUUAUUGGGCGUAAAGAGCGUGUAGGCGGCCCUCGAGGUCCGUUGUGAAAACUCGAGGCUCAACCUCGAGACGUCGAUGGAAACCGUAUGGCUAGAGUCCGGAAGAGGAGAGUGGAAUUCCUGGUGUAGAGGUGAAAUUCGUAGAUAUCAGGAGGAACACCGAUGGCGAAGGCAGGUCUCUGGGCCGUAACUGACGCUGAGGAGCGAAAGCGUGGGGAGCGAACAGG